CCUUCGAGCUAGGGGAGCCGUGCAGACAACUGCGCGGCUGAGAGUGGGAUUUCCCAGACCCUUGAACCUGACGCAGUUCGCACUGCCGGAGGGAAGCCGCGGCCACAAGCU
rnacentral:ncRNA from 2 species